rnacentral:rRNA from 1 species
CUACCACAUCCAAGGAAGGCAGCAGGCGCGCAAAUUACCCACUCCCGGCACGGGGAGGUAGUGACGAAAAAUAACAAUACGGGACUCUUUUGAGACCCCGUAAUUGGAAUGAGCACACUCCAAAUCCUUUAACGAGGACCUAUUUGAGGGCAAGUCUGGUGCCAGCAGCCGCGGUAACUCCAGCUCAAAUGGCGUAUAUUAAAGUUGUUGCGGUUAAAAAGCUCGUAGUUGGAUCUCAGUUCCGGACGGGCGGUCCGCCUACCGGCGGCCGCCGCCCGAUCCGAACGAUACGCCGGCCUCUCGGGAUGAUCUUCACCGGUUGUCUCGGGGUGCCGGCAACUUUACUUUGAAAAAAUCAGAGUGCUCAAAGCAGGCGCAACGCCUGGAUGAUGGUGCAUGGAAUAAUGGAAUAGGACCUCGGUUCUAUUUUGUUGGUCUUAGGAUCACGAGGUAAUGAUUAAGAGGGACAGACGGGGGCAUUCGUAUUGCGGCGCUAGAGGUGAAAUUCUUGGACCGUCGCACGACGAACUACUGCGAAAGCAUUUGCCAAGAAUGUUUCCAUUAAUCAAGAACGAAAGUUAGAGGUUCGAAGGCGAUCAGAUACCGCCCUAGUUCUAACCAUAAACGAUGCCAGCCAGCGAUCCGGCUGCGUUCCUCAAAUGACGCGCCGGGCAGCUUCCGGGAAACCAAAGCCUUUGGGUUCCGGGGGAAGUAUGGUU